rnacentral:tRNA from 1 species
UGGAUAUUAAGUUAAGAAAACUAUAUGAUUCAUGUUUAUAUAUUGUGUAAAGUUACACAUAUCCUU